rnacentral:lncRNA from 1 species
UUUUUUUUUUUUUAAUAUUUUCCAGUGGCUACUCAUCCCACUGCCAUGAUUUAAUUCUGUACCAUUUUCCUACAUGUAUGUAAGGAAAAAGACUGGUGAGAUCAAAUUUCUUAACUGUAUCUAUACAUUGUAACUUGAAUAAGUAAAUUGCCAAAAUUCAUUUGUCUUUGUGAAAAAAGCAAGCAAUCCUAAUAUGCAGAUUUUCAUCAAAGCUUCUCUGACUGAAGACAGAGAAUCUUUUCAUAUGUAAUUAUAAGAUCUCCACAUUGGAAAGAUAUCAAUAGUCCAAUGCUUACUGAGUUUUUGAGUCUUCUUUCUCUUUGCCAAAACUCAUGAACAGUUUUAGGUCAGGUAGGAAAGUGAUAAUUAAACAUCUCUAUGGCAUCAUUACCCAAGCAUGCGGAAACAUUCUAGGUUCACUGAGUGGAAGAAUACCUUUUAGUGAUUCAAAAGCACCAGGCCAGAUGCAAUUACAUAUUCUGAAUGUUUUCCAGCAGGUAAUUUUUUUGGUGCUAGUUGGAGUAAUUACUAUGUAAGGUGAAGAGCUGCUCUCUUACUCAGUAGGGGAUGCCAAUAAAUUUCUGACUCACCAAUAAAACUUUACCAAAGGUUUUUAAAUUGUAUAAUUAUCAAAGAUUAAUUUUAAAAAUGUGUAUUAGUCUUCAGCAAACUUUUGCUUUUAUCUAAACAUGGUUUUAUGUCUAGCAAAGAUCCCCUCUUUUCAAAAAUAAAUCUCUGAGAAGAAACACUAAAAGCUUGGAUAGAAGCUACAUUGUUGACCUCAAAUUGUAAAUUUCCACAAAGCAUCUCAUAAAAAUGAGGGAAAUAAACAGCAGAGUAUGUAAUUUAUCUUCCUAAAUUACUGUCCCUUUGGCAGGAGAAGGUUAAAAAGCAUUUUGACCUGAUGUUCUUUCACGUUCAUGGAUGCCUGCAUUACAGUAAAUAAAUAAAUAAAUAAAUAAAGUAUUUCUUAUAAAAAAUAUUUAACCAGACAAGGUAAAAUAUCAAGAAAUAUUUGAAAAAACUUAUUUGGAUGAAACCAUAUAAGGAAAAUCUUUACACAGACAUACAAGGGCAAAUACACCAAAUUUCAUUUCUAAAGACUGAGAUAAAUGAGACUAAUAUUUUAAUUUGCAUAGGAAGAGAGGCAUAAGGAAAGGAAAGUGAGUCCAAUAUGAAAGCAUCUCUUGAGAUGCUUCAACUGGAUUCCUGCCCCUUAUCCCUAGUAAAGAGAAAAAUACACAUUUAGGGCAGAUACCUUCUCAGAAAUGAUAAUCAUGUAGCAAUCUAGGUAGCAUGCUGGUUUCCAAUGAGCCUGCUCUUAAUAUAGAGGUAUCAGAACCCACUUCUGACACAUCUCUCUCCAGGAAAUAAAGAAAGGGAGGUGUCGGUGAUAGUGAUUUACAGUAUGGAGGGCUCUCAUAAGAGCUCAUAUUUUGUUUUUGUUUUUUGUUUGUUUGUUUGUUUGUUUUUGUCUUUUUUUGCCAUCUCUUGGGCCGCUCCCGCGGCAUAUGGAGGUUCCCAGGCUAGGGGUCGAAUCGGAGCUGUAGCCACAGGCCUACACCAGAGCCACAGCAACACGGGAUCCGAGCCGCAUGUGCGACCUACACCACAGCUCACGGCAACGCCGGAUCGUUAACCCACUGAGCAAGGGCAGGGACCGAACCCGCAACCUCAUGGUUCCUAGUUGGAUUCGUUAACCACUGUGCCACGACGGGAACUCCAAGAGCUCAUAUUUUGAAAGAAAAUAUUAAAGAGGUGUUCAUAAGAAAGAACUAAUAGAAAAGAAUUCCAAUGCUUGAAAAUGAAUUAUUUGGUCCCAAACACUUUUUUUUAACGUCUCCUUCCCUUCCUUUCUUUUCUCCCUUCCUUCCUUCUGGGAAGAUAAAAUAUUAGAAAAUACGUCAAAAAACUUAACUAGUCCUCUUUUUGAUGAAAUAAUAUGCUCCACAAUCUAAAAGAUGUAAAUGAAUUUAAGCGGUUCUUGAAAAUCGAACUUUGUUCAUGAUUGUGUAUAAAGGGAUUCUUCAUGAAGAUUCAAUAUGGAUGAAUACUGAUUCAUUUGUAACUGCAACCUCCAAAUUACUUUGCUGAGCAAAUUUAAGUAACUGAGAUUAUCCUGCGAUCUUUCUGUUAGACGGAUAUAAUCAUUAAGUUCAUUAAUCUUUGCACUGUCAAUUUUUGGGAACUCUGGAGUUUCCACAAAGAUGUUUCUGGGCAUAGAAAUGAAGGUGACCUGAUUUCCCAAGUAACAUCAAACCAAGCAACUAAAUUUUGUUUCAUACAUAUAUGAAGCUUCCACACAAUAUUUUAUAUGGAGAUAUUAUCUAAAAGAAUUUGAAGAAUACUCAGUAAAACUCUUAUUUUAGAAAGUAAAAUCAGAAACUCAAGAGAAAUUACAUUCUCAAGGAUUUGGAAUUUGUUCCUUGUUAGACAAGACUCUAGAUAUUUUUAGGAAUUUGCAAACUUAUAAGAUACUUCUCAUUAUUUUCUUAAUGAAGCCAGGGUACACCAAAUUUUUCUUCACCUCCAGGACUAUUAACUAUUGAGUGAAAGAACCACAUGUAUUCUCACCUCUGCCAAUCAUUUUAUGAUUAUUUAUAAAUAAUUUCUGUGUGAAGAUAAACCAUCCAGAUGAAAAUGCCUUUAAAAAGGCCAAACAUUGCUGCAGUAAAAAUGAACUCAAGCAGUAGUUCUUGUCAUUAUUUUUCCUCCUCUAAUAUCUAAGGCAUAUAUUUAUGUUAAUAACCAGACAGUAGUUCAACAUCAUAGCCAGGUGCUAGAGAAAGAGCAGAGGGGGCCAAUUCUGAAGAAGGAUAAUGAAUUCUUUGAAAACAAUUUGGUUUGGCUUUCAAAUUUUGACAGUUGCAUUUGUACACUGACAAUAAAUGGUACAGACUGUGACUAUACACACACUAAAACUGACUUUAAGUGAUUAUGCUAAUAAUUUAAGCAAAUAACUCACUAUCUUAAUUAUUAGGAUAUUGCAAAUAUGUUUUUCUAAAAUUUGAAAUGCUUGUAUUAGUCCUUUAAUUUUUCAUUCUGGGCAAGAAUGCACAUAAAUUGAACCUCCUUUAGAUAAUAAAAUUCCCAGCCUAUCAGAGUUCUUUGGUGGUUCCCAACCCAUUUGCCAAAAUUCUCCCAACAUCAACGAUGUCUAUACUUAGGUCAGGAUGUUGCACUCACGGCAACCUUCCCUUGUGGAAAUGUUUUAGUUUGAACCGAAAUGUUGACUUCCUUGAAACGGGCCAUUUGUUGAGCAAAGGGUUCUAAGGUGCUGUUGACUGUCUCAAGCUUUUGACGGGCAAAAUUGUUUUUGAUGUUCUUUAGUGAAACCUAAAGCCUAGUUGGAAAGGCAUAAUUCAGAAAUACAUUAUUUUUUUUCACAGAGUUUUUCUUUCCCUUUACCCAUGGAGAUAAAACAUGUAUUCAUAAACAUGUGGAAAUUAAGGCAAUAAUUAUAGGCAGUCUGUUUGCAGAAAUACUUUCUCCAAGGUAUUUUUCUCUGAAUGUUUGGAUCUUUUGCGCACACGCACAAAAAUAAUCAUAUUACUUUAGAAACUUCUGUUUAAUCAAAAGCUGGUGCUAAAGAUCAUUCCAUAUAAUAUAUUUUUACUUUUUUCUCUCUUCUAUUUAAAUUAUAUGUGGAGUUCCCAUUGUGGCUCAGAGAGUAACAAACCUAAGUAGUAUCCAUGACGAUGUGGGUGCAAUCCCUGGCCUCGCUCAGUGGGGUAAGGAUCCGGCAUUGCUGUGAUCUGUGGUGUAGGCUGAAGGUGCACCUUGGAUUUGGCAUUGCUGUGGCUGUGAUGUAGGAUCUAAGCCACAUCUGCGACCUACACCAUAGCACACGGCAACAUGGGAUCCUUAACCCACUGAGCAAGGCCAGGGAUCGAACCUGCAACCUCAUGGUUCCUAGUCGGAUUCAUUAACCACUGUGCCACGACGGGAACUCCCCUUUUUUUUAUUCUUAACAUUCAAAUUGAAAUACAAAAUAAGUGUGCCAAAUUCCACUGAAAUCAACAAAUGGAGAGUGAUCUUAUUUUCUAUAACAUCUCAUAUUUGUAUUAAAAUUUAAAUUCAUAUAUAUAAAUGUAAUAAUUCAUAGGUAUAUAAUGAAAUAUUAUUUACUAUUUCAUAAUUUCCAGAAGGUGUUUCUUCUUUGUUAAUGAUUGAUGAAACUGAAAGAGAGAAUCAUAAGUACUUGUUUUAUGUUCAUCUUUUCUUAAAUCAGGCUUAAAUCCCUAAAACUUUAUAUACUAUUUUAAAGUUACUCUGCUACAAAUGAACUAAAAAAUGUCAAAUUCAUUUUUAUCUAUUUUAAUGACAUUUUGCAAAAAUAAAACAGAAAACUUUGCUUUUCACUAUCAGUAAAGCGGGAACAAGGCAUAGCGUGUGAUUUUGGCAAUGACGUUGUUUGUGAUGACAAGUGCCAAGUUGCCUCAGGUAAUCCAAGUUUCAUAUAAGAAUAUAAAGAAAUUAAGAAGCAGAGUAAAUCCCCACCAAGGUUCCACAAUUAGUCUCCCUAUAAUGGUAACAUCCUCCAUCACUGAAAAACAACUCUAAUCCCCAAACAUCAAUUCUAGAAGUGGUCCUCAGAAGUGCUCAUCCUGAUAAAUUAACUUCCACAUAACUCAGUUCCUGUUUGGCUUACCUACACUUGAUUUCCUCAUAAUGUUGAUGGUAACUAUUUAUUUUCUAGUACGUUGUUUCCCAGCUGUGUUUAUUCAAGAUUUCCACUUGUUAACUGCUUUUAUAUAUUCUACAAACAGUUCAUCUUUAUUGGGAUAUAAUACAUAUGUAAUAAUAUUCACCCUUUGAAGCAUAAAAUUCAGUGGAUUAAUAUAUACAGAGUAGGUAUAGAAAGAAACUUUGCACCCGUUAGGACAGAUACACAGAAGUGGGAUUUCAGGAUCAAAUGAUAGUCCUAUUUUUAACUUUUUGAGGAACUUCCAUGCUGUUUUCAAUAAUAGCUGUACCAAUUUACAUUCCUCUCAACAAUGUGCAAAGGUUCCCUUUUUUCCAGGUCCUUGCCAAUACACCACCUUUUGUAUUUUUGAUAAUGCCAUUCUAACAUGUAAGUGAUUACCUCACUGUAGUUUUGAUGUUCAUUUCUCUGAGAUUAGUAAUGUUGAACAUUUCUCAUAUACCUGUUCGCCAUUUUUAUAUCUUCUAUUAAGGUCCUUUGCACAUUUUAAAAAUGAAGUUAUGUGUUUUCUUACUGUGGACUUGUUUGUGUUCCUUAUAUAUUUUAAAUAUUAGCCCUUUAUCAGAUGUAUGAUUUGUAAAUAUCUUCUCCUCUUCUAUGCACUGUCACUUUACUCUGUUGAUUGUUUCCUUUACUAUAAGGAAGAUCUGAAACUGUGAAACUAUUAAAAGAAAAGAUAGGGAAAGGCUUCUUGACAUUGGUCUAGGCAAUGAUAUUUUUUUUUGUAUGAUCUCAAAGGAAAAGGCUAGAGGAAGCCAAAUUAAAAAAAGAAAUAAAUAAAGAAAAAAAAAAGGUGAUUAGGAGUGGCCAUGAUGGCAGAGUAAGAGCCUGAGCUUACCUCCUCCCACAGGCACAAAAAAAUUACAACUAUUUACAAAACAACUAUUAAUGAUAAAUACCUAAAAACUAACAGGA